GUAUUCUGCACGGACUGCUGGGCAGCACUAGCACUCUGGAGAAGGUCUGCCGCUGUCUGCACUUUCCUGGUGAGAAUCCCCAAUGACAGUCCCACUUUUCAGUGGAGGAGAACAAAAUAUCUGUCUACUCUCUUGAAGAAGGACACGGCUUUGAUCAUAUUUGUUCAGGCUUGACUUGGCCGGAGGUUUUAGGUUCUUAGUCUCAAGUCAGCAGUCUCUCUCUCUCUCUCUCUCUCUCUCUCUCUCUCUCUCUCUGAAACACACACACACAGAGACGCACACACACACAAGCACACACAUACACAAGCGCAAAUCCUCUCUUUCUCUUUCUCUCAUUUCCCGUCAUAGGUUCUAUGCAGGCAGAUGAGUGUCACAGCUGUAACUGAGGCACAGAGCAGUACACACAGUGGAGCCGAUUUCCGCGAUGGCGAGAGGGGGCACCGGAGGUGACAACAAUAACAAGACUGUCCUUCGGACAAGUUUUAGCGCUGAAUAUCUUCAGGAAAAUGGGUUCCAUGAGAAGUGACAUCCUCCUCGAAUCAAAAGGAAGAAUGACUUGGGCAAUACCAAAUGUUGAGUUAUCAAGUAUUUCGAUACCCAUAUGCAUCAUCUGCUAUUCUCAGGAUGAUGGAGUGAGUGAUGGAAUAGGUUGCCAACUGUAGUUACUCCACUCAGCACAGAAUGGCUGCGGGGAAAUAUAAUCAGACAUGCCCAAAGAAGUCUGCUUAGGGUGAAACAAAUACCUUUGAGGUUUAAAUCAGAAAGGAAGGAGAGACUGUUUCUACAGGUGUCAUACAAAAAUCAAUACUGAGCCAAGGAUUAUUGGAUCCCAUAGAACCACGGAGACUUGGUAGUGAAAUUCUUCCAAAGGCAGAUGGUGUUCCUAGGUUUGGAAAUAUAAAUCCCAUGGGAAGUCAGCUGAAGACCAUUUUAUGCAUCACUCAUCCUGUUAGAGCCCUGUGCUGUUCUGUCUCUCUAUAAGACUGGCUGAAACCACCACGGUUGUUUACAAUUUAUGCUCUAACUUUGGAUCACCUAGUUAAUACUCUAACUCCGAUUAUUACCAAAGACAAUGUUCUAUAAAAGAUAUUGUCUAUUAGAAGGAUGCUUCUGCAUUAUUAAUAAAAUCACAGGGAAAAUGCAACAUUUUGGAUGUCACAUCUGAUAAGUGGGUGACUGAUCGUACCCGCCAGCUGGCUAAUGUCAUAAUUAACAAAGUUGCUACUACAUCUGCAAAGUUUAAUCGAAAAAUUUGCCAGUGAUAUGAUGGCCUUGUCACAGAGAUCACAAGGGACACGGAGUUGACUUUUGCUCAAGGUGGAACGACAGAGCUGUGUAGGCAAGAUGAGAAAUUGCGAACUUGUUCGGCCAAAGGAGGCUAAUAAUGAAGGGGCCGGGAAGGAGGCCAGUGCUACCAGGGUUAUCUCACAACCUCAGAUGCUGGAUAAGUCGACGGAGGCAGAAUCGCUUUGGGAUGACAUUCAGAAAGCCUGGAGUGAUUACUUGCAAGAGAAAAGCCUACCUAUUCUUUCCAAGGUGCAGGAAUAUUCCCCUGACCUGCUCAUCCAGUGGUCCAGUAAUGAAUUACUGGAGACCUGCCUUAGACAAAGAAUGCACUCGGAGCCCCAACACACCUAAAGCCAUGCUUUGAAGGAUCUGCCAAGCUCACUUUUAAUCAUGAGAAAGAAAUUACCCACACGGAGUCAGCAGAAAAUGAGAAAGUAGAGCUCGUGCUGUGAAUAAUUCCAGCAAGUGCCAAGGGGCUAGUUGAGGAAUGGCUUCAUGAGAACAUGCUCUAGGGGAACUAUUAAUAGCCCACCAGUCGGGUAGGCAGCAUUCAAUCCUUCUAUGCCUUCUUUCGCCACCUGUUGAGGUCUUUCUUCUGAAACAAAGAAGAAAUAGACAAAUCAGACUUGCCCUCUUGGAAAUGUGGUCCAGAUUUCUCUACUCCCAAGCUCCAAAAAAGGUAUACAUUGGAUGGGCUAGAUCAACUCCUCCUGAGAGCCAUAAAUCCGCCAAGAGUUGUUUUCCAUGUAAGGGUGUGGUACAAUGGGGAACACCUGAUGUUGGAGGAAAGCAGGAGGACUUUAGAGUGGAGUUGCAUUCUAAUCUCUCUGCCGCUUCAACUAUGUGACCUGGGGCAAAUGAUAUAAACUCUAUGAGCCUCUUUCCUUAUCUUUAAAAUGAAGAGAAGUAAUACCUACCUUGUAGGGCUGUUGUGAGGAUUAAAUGAAGUAAUGCAUACAGUGCCUAACAAAGUAUUUAACAUCAUAUUUUUUAAAAGCUCAUGAAAUAUUAGUUUUUCUUCCUUCCCCUCUUUCUAUUUUCUCUCCUGUUCCCUUUUCUCUCCCUCCUCUGCCCUCUCCUUCCUUCAGAUGUUAGUCUAAAACAGCACCUUGGAUCUAAGCAGCACCUUUGAGAAAGAAAAGACUGCUUCAAGAAUGUCUAGUUGCACCUCCUUUCCGUAUGUGGCCUAAAUGCCUAGGUUGGAUCAAUAGUUUAAUUUUUUUAUUGAACUGUUUAAUAUUGACUAUGGACUUACAUUCACUUUUACUGUUUUCUGUAUAUUUACUUUUGCUUGAAGUGUUUUAAUAUUGACUAUUUACCUCUGCUCAUUUUUAUUGAUUUUCUGUAUUUUUUCAAUGAAAAUUAUAAUAAAAAUUAUUUUUGUUA
rnacentral:lncRNA from 1 species